UAACACAUCUGAUGUUCUCGUGAACUCUUUGGUCAAUGACUUUGUGGAUGGGUAAACCAAAGAGAAUGCCUUACUUUUCAUUUUAUUACUAAAGGGUGGAUGCUGAGAACUGAGGGCUGAGCCAGAGGCCGAGGAGGAAGAGAGACCAUCCACCUGAGCUGCCAGGUUCGAAAGGAGAAACUAGCAUCGAGAGGCACCGCUGCGACUGAGUGGAGAGCACGUAAAGACAAGGCAGUAAGCCCAGCCCAGUUUCCAAGGGAGGAGAAUCGAGCGCCUGCUCUCUAAGGGAAGAGCUGCAAAGAAUUGUGGCCAUCUUGAAUCUGCCCAGAGGCCAUGCAGAAAAAAGCCAGAAACAUCCAAACUGCCUGGAUUGUUUUUCUACCGAUAGUCUUCUGUUGGAUCUCAAAGUUGUGCUGUGCACAGAUGAGGAUGGAAACAGCUUCAAGUACAGGAAAGCCAGACCACUUCUCUCCCACUUGUUUGGGGAAACUGACUUGGAAAUGCUUAUACAAAGGCAGGUUGAGACAACUCUAACAAUGUCUAAAUAAGAUUUCUGGUUAUUCAAAGAUUUAAUUAAUGUGUCUGAGAAAUUGCUGCCAAAAGACCUUUGGAUCUCAGUACAAGCAAAAUUUAGCGAGACGCUCCAUGACUGUCAUCAUUCUUAAAAUUCAAAUUCAGUAACCAACGUUCCAAAGCAUAAAAUUCCAAAUGCUUUUUCUUUCCCCUCAAAGAACAUGUUUCUUCUUCAGAUGUCACUAAUUCUGUUAAAGACACGAGCAUUCUCCUUGCCCUCCAAGUCUGAAGCAUCGCUCCCUCUACCUGCCCUGAGGACGAGCCCUCACUCGGGCAACUGCACUGGUCCCCAGGCUUCCUGGGCCUGUGAUCGCUCUUUCAUACUCACUAAAUCUUCUUACGUGGUCUUUUUGCAUAUUACAGUUCUGAAAUAAAAUUAGGUUCUUGUAUUAUGCUAAACAGUCUGUCAGUGUUUACUUAUUGACUAGCAAAUGAAAUUCCAAGGCCUUAGUCUGUCUCUGCCGGUCAGGCCACCUCUUGGCCAUGUGCAGUCCUGGCCAAAUAUUUUUUUGCAGAGCCCCUCUCUAUAGAAAUAAAUUAAUUGAAAAUGUAAAGGUCCAUGUGAGGUGUAGUGAUUUAUUAGUAAAGAUUUAAAAUCCUAGGUAGAGAAGAUGGACAUAUAUAUCUGCUCACUGUCCACCCAGGGCAGGGAGAGAUUCUGCACAGAGUCCAGGCUUCUUCUCUUCCUGUUCAGGUCUGGGAACCAUCCUGUCAUUACCUUUCAAUGGUGACAACUCUGCAUUUUAUGCUAACAGGAUUAAUUCUCCAUUUCUUAUUUUUAGUCUUGAGUUUCCAGAAAUUGUUGCUAGUUCCUGACCUAAUUUGAAUUCAAAAGUAAUGUUUUUCUUAUUUUUCCCACUAAGAGAAAAAAGUAGCAAUGUUGUUAUGACUCAGAAUGCCCAGGCUCUUCAGAAUCUGUUUGUCUUGAUACAAGGUAGGUCUUCUUGCUUAUUCAGUUUCCUAAUAUCAUGCACAUGAUGCCAGUUACGUCACGAGCAAGGCUUCCUCCUGUAACUGCUGGAUUCCAGCGACUCCCUCAAUGGUGGUUGCCCUUCAUGGUGAGGGUCACAAUGCAAGUCUCAUGCAGA